rnacentral:lncRNA from 1 species
UUUAGUGUCAACUACGAAAAUUCACAGCAAGAGAAUGAAAAUCCACAUAACACAGCAUCAGUUUGUUACUAGUGACCAGUAUUUUAAAACUAACAGACUUCUCAAAAUAAACUGUUUUCAGACAAUAAAUAAAUAAACAAUCUCAAGUACUACUAAUGAACAUGAAAGUAACUAACAAUAAAAUAAAGAUACUUGCAGUGAAGUCCCUACUUAAUGAGAAAGAAGAGCAUGGUAAGUUUGUUCCAUUACAGGGAGAAAAUAAAUUGUAUUGUUAAGAUAGCAUUUUUAUUUUGUGAUGUAUAUGUCAAGUCUAUGUAUUAAACAAGCAAAUUUAAAUAGUUUUGUAUCCACAGUACAUCUACAGGAUGCGACAGCUCUUGAAUCCUUGCAGAGUUCCACUGACAUCAAAUGAACACAGGACUGCACCUACUCUAUAUUCUACCCUAUGAUUAUUUCAAACUAGUAACAGCUUUACCACACAAAACAAUAGAGAAAACCACAAGAUUAUAUUUUAUUUCAAGUAAAAAAUUCCUUAUUUUUUAUUUCAAUGACAGGUAGAUCAGCUCCUCACCUAAUAUGGUAAAUUUCUGCUUUUGUGUUCACUAAGGUAAGGCUGAUUUGAUUCCAUUGAAGUUGGAAGUUGAGUUAUUCUAGAUUUACACUGGUAAAUUUCUGAGAUGUUUGUCCCUGAGCAUUAACAUUCCUAUUUUUAUUUUUCAACACAGCAACAAUCAGAAUACAUAAGGAUGAAUGAAUUGCAAUUAAAGAAUAAAUAAUGAAAAAACAUAUUAACAUAAAACUGUCAAGUUCCUCUACAUUCAGGAAAUCAGUGCAUGCAUAUUGUUUUCAAAACAUGAAUACUUAUGCUUGAUUCUCAAGUUUUUCUAUAGAAAGAAAUUCUAUGGAACGUAUACAUAGGCCUUUUUCAAUUAAUGCUGUAGGUUUGCUUCUGAAGUUACACUGCAACUGGUAGUAAAAAAAAUUCAUAUCGAGUCCUGAUUUUCUAGUCCAUACCACAUUCUAAUUCUCAUUCACCACCACUACAAUGCAUGUUAAAUCCUCCACAACAGGGAAUGUUUAAUCUAGAUGUAAUUCUUUUCCUGCUUUUCUCCCCUCCCAUGAAGAUUUUUAAGAGACUUUGUAAAACAUUUUUACUACAAAAUCUAAAUCUGGAAGUUAAAAUUAUCUAAAGACAUCUUUUAAACUUUCAUUUAUAAAACUACCCUAACCAAUUGAAAUGAUAUAUCUAUUAGUAUUUUUAUUUUUUGCUAAGGAUAAACUAAUUUUUCUUUCCUCUGAAAAAUUGUCUUAUUCAAAAUGAUUAAUGAGAAGGGAGCCAAAUCAAAACAAAUGCCCCUAGCAUUACAUUAUUGUUCCUCCUAGAACUUCAGUGUUGAAGAUCUCAGAAUCCAACUAAAAACUAAAUUCUGCUUAUGUUACUAAUGCAAAAAAAUUUCACUGCCUUUGGAGGGACUAUUUGUAUAGCAGAGGCAAGGAGGAUUUUUUAGACCAACAGAAGGUGGGAAAAACUUUCAUAAAAAGUAAAUUGUCAAGGUGAAAUACAGAAAUGAUCCAAAAGAGAGUAUUACAGGCACUUAACAAAGUCUAGUUUCAGAAAUACAAUAGUACCAAACACUUUUAUUAACAUUGCGUCCGACUUUUUAAGUCAAUGCUGGCUAAUAUUUUGAUGUUGCUGAAGGCAAACAAAAUUCAUAAACAGUGGUUUUCUGUGUUUUACUUUGGACUGGAUGUUAUAACUAUCUUAAUCAUAAACUAACCUAGAAUAGUAAUGAUUGAAGCAGGGUAAAACCAAUAUAUUUUGUUUUCUUUACUUUAUUUCAAAAUAGGGUGAUUAUAAAUACAUUCUUGUUAUAUUUCCUUCCUAAUUCUUUGGACGCAAGCAAAAAAAGAAAAAAAUCUCACUGUGCUCAUUUCAUACAAUAUCAAUGUACAAAUCAUGCAAAAGAUAUUAUAGAUAUCAUACCAUCAUCAAGUUCUGGAUGUGUUUCGCUGAUUCUGAAACAUCUGUUAACAUUAUUCACAAGGCCAUGUCUUUUAUAAUUUAUAUUGUCAUUACGGUUUAAAAAAAAAUCAUUUUAUAUAAGAUUUUUAUACUAGAUUUCUAUAUUAUUGUCACUCUUGUACACUAAAUGCAAAAUGUAAAUUGUUUAAUGGUCUUGUGUUCUUGCACCAUGGUAGUUGCUUUCUGAUAAAACUGCACGAAUUUUUUCUUUUUCAGGGAAAUGAUUACACUUUAUUGAUUUUAUUUUAAAAUGGAAACUUCUUUAUAAUACGAUGAAGACAACACCUUCACUGAUUUAGUCUAUGGGUCUCAACAGCUAUUUUACAAGCAUGGCCACUCAAACCAACAUAAUGCAAGAUCUGUUAAGCCACAUCCGAAGAGUCACCUUCUCAGGCUGACUAUAGAUUUGAAUGGACAUUACAAUAAAACUGCUGUGCAGACACAUACGCUGUUUCAAAAGAUGGAGGAAAUAAACUAACAUUAAGGUUGUCAUUCAAAGUAAGAAUUUCACAGAAAUAGUGUUUUGUCAACUUCCACAUUCUUCACUCACACUAUUAUGCCUACAUAUUGCAUCAUAUAUGUAAACCACUUAGGAACAAUUUACACAGGAAAGUCCAGAUUGUGCAACCUUUGUUGAUGCUGGCGAACCUACACUCAACUGCAUAAUCCCAAAAGUCACCAUUCUCUAUGUAUUAUAUACGUCUCUGAGCUGGCUUUUUUUAAAGUAAAUGAAAAACUCUACCUAAGCCCCAGUCUUGGGCAUAUUGUUUAAUUAUUAGUUCAUGAAUAGUACCUCUGCACAUGAUUUAGGUUGAGUUUAAAUGCUUUACUGGAUUGGGACCUCAAUGAGUAGGAAAAUCAGAUCUUCCUCCUUUGGUCAGUGAUUAAAAGACCUCACCACAAAACAAACAAACAAACAAACUAAUAAACCUGAAACAAAACACCACAAACCAAACACCUCAUUUUUUUUUUAGCUGAGGAAGGCAUAAUCAUUUAUCAUUGAUCUUUUAGCUCAGGGCAAUAUGAGUCAUAAGCACAUCAGUUUUAACAUCACUUACAAGUAUUAGGUUGCUAUUUCAAAUAUUUUUCACACAUGGCUCUCCAGAGAAAGGUAUGGGACAUGACAUCUCUGACAGUGCACUGAAGUGUGUCGGAAGCCUUACGCAAGGCAAAUCCCAGUGAACCUGGAUACAUCCUCAAAGCCAAGCAGCACUGUGUAGAGUAGGCACAGUGACCCAUUAUUCUUAAUCUAUUGAUGGAGCCAUUGUAGUCUAUCACAUCAGUGCAUCUUUAACACUCCUUAAUUCACAGACUCUUAACACAAUAAGCUCAAAUGUAGUUAUUCAAGCCUUGGAUAUGUAUUGCAUCAUUGGUCAACCAAGAACUUCUUAUCCUAGAAAUGCAUAUGUACAUAGUGUCCAUGUCCUGAAAUCCCUAUGACAUCCUGAAAUCACUUAUUGUGCAUUGAUAGCAGCAGCUUCUUGAAAAAAACUUAGUCAUUAAUUCAUAAUCUUAUUGUCUGAAGUCAUGUAUGUAAUAUGACAUUGUACAUACUCCACCGUAGUAUGGAGAAAAAUAAUAAAACAAUCCUCUUCCUAAGUUACAAGAGCAUAAACAAAUGUCUGAAAAUAGAAAAAUGUUUGUUUUGCUUUCUCUUAAAUAAAGAAGCAGUGCUUUUUUUUUUUUUUUUUUUUAAUAAACUUAGCUAAAAAUAUACUGCAGGCUGUUUGCCAAGUGUCAUUCCAGAAUAAAAAUUUCACAGCAGUGUCAUAAAGCCCUGAAAUUAGAGGUUUAUAAUGGAAAUAGCUGACACAGCCUUC